rnacentral:rRNA from 1 species
GAUGAACGCUGGCGGCGUGCCUAAUACAUGCAAGUCGAGCGAACGGACGAGAAGCUUGCUUCUCUGAUGUUAGCGGCGGACGGGCGAGUAACACGUGGAUAACCUACCUAUAAGACUGGGAUAACUUCGGGAAACCGGAGCUAAUACCGGAUAAUAUUUUGAACCGCAUGGUUCAAAAGUGAAAGACGGUCUUGCUGUCACUUAUAGAUGGAUCCGCGCUGCAUUAGCUAGUUGGUAAGGUAACGGCUUACCAAGGCAACGAUGCAUAGCCGACCUGAGAGGGUGAUCGGCCACACUGGAACUGAGACACGGUCCAGACUCCUACGGGAGGCAGCAGUAGGGAAUCUUCCGCAAUGGGCGAAAGCCUGACGGAGCAACGCCGCGUGAGUGAUGAAGGUCUUCGGAUCGUAAAACUCUGUUAUUAGGGAAGAACAUAUGUGUAAGUAACUGUGCACAUCUUGACGGUACCUAAUCAGAAAGCCACGGCUAACUACGUGCCAGCAGCCGCGGUAAUACGUAGGUGGCAAGCGUUAUCCGGAAUUAUUGGGCAUAAAGCGCGCGUAGGCGGUUUUUUAAGUCUGAUGUGAAAGCCCACGGCUCAACCGUGGAGGGUCAUUGGAAACUGGAAAACUUGAGUGCAGAAGAGGAAAGUGGAAUUCCAUGUGUAGCGGUGAAAUGCGCAGAGAUAUGGAGGAACACCAGUGGCGAAGGCGACUUUCUGGUCUGUAACUGACGCUGAUGUGCGAAAGCGUGGGGAUCAAACAGGAUUAGAUACCCUGGUAGUCCACGCCGUAAACGAUGAGUGCUAAGUGUUAGGGGGUUUCCGCCCCUUAGUGCUGCAGCUAACGCAUUAAGCACUCCGCCUGGGGAGUACGACCGCAAGGUUGAAACUCAAAGGAAUUGACGGGGACCCGCACAAGCGGUGGAGCAUGUGGUUUAAUUCGAAGCAACGCGAAGAACCUUACCAAAUCUUGACAUCCUUUGACAACUCUAGAGAUAGAGCCUUCCCCUUCGGGGGACAAAGUGACAGGUGGUGCAUGGUUGUCGUCAGCUCGUGUCGUGAGAUGUUGGGUUAAGUCCCGCAACGAGCGCAACCCUUAAGCUUAGUUGCCAUCAUUAAGUUGGGCACUCUAAGUUGACUGCCGGUGACAAACCGGAGGAAGGUGGGGAUGACGUCAAAUCAUCAUGCCCCUUAUGAUUUGGGCUACACACGUGCUACAAUGGACAAUACAAAGGGCAGCGAAACCGCGAGGUCAAGCAAAUCCCAUAAAGUUGUUCUCAGUUCGGAUUGUAGUCUGCAACUCGACUACAUGAAGCUGGAAUCGCUAGUAAUCGUAGAUCAGCAUGCUACGGUGAAUACGUUCCCGGGUCU